rnacentral:rRNA from 1 species
UACGAAGGGGGCUAGCGUUGCUCGGAAUCACUGGGCGUAAAGGGUGCGUAGGCGGGUCUUUAAGUCAGAGGUGAAAUCCUGGAGCUCAACUCCAGAACUGCCUUCGAUACUGAGAGUCUCGAGUCCGGGAGAGGUGAGUGGAACUGCGAGUGUAGAGGUGAAAUUCGUAGAUAUUCGCAAGAACACCAGUGGCGAAGGCGGCUCACUGGCCCGGUACUGACGCUGAGGUGCGAAAGCGUGGGGAGCAAACAGG